GGUUAAGUUAGAAAGGGCGCACGGUGGAUGCCUUGACACUAGGAGUCGAUGAAGGACGGGACUAACGCCGAUAUGCUUCGGGGAGCUGUAAGUAAGCUUUGAUCCGAAGAUUUCCGAAUGGGGAAACCCACUAUACGUAAUGGUAUGGUAUCCUUACCUGAAUACAUAGGGUAUGGAAGACAGACCCAGGGAACUGAAACAUCUAAGUACCUGGAGGAAGAGAAAGCAAAUGCGAUUUCCUGAGUAGCGGCGAGCGAAACGGAAUCUAGCCCAAACCAAGAGGCUUGCCUCUUGGGGUUGUAGGACAUUCUAUACGGAGUUACAAAGGAACGAGGUAGACGAAGCGACCUGGAAAGGUCCGUCACAGAGGGUAAUAACCCCGUAGUCGAAACUUCGUUCUCUCUUGAAUGUAUCCUGAGUACGGCGGAACACGUGAAAUUCCGUCGGAAUCUGGGAGGACCAUCUCCCAAGGCUAAAUACUCCCUAGUGAUCGAUAGUGAACCAGUACCGUGAGGGAAAGGUGAAAAGCACCCCGGAAGGGGAGUGAAAGAGAUCCUGAAACCGUGUGCCUACAAAUAGUCAGAGCCCGUUAAUGGGUGAUGGCGUGCCUUUUGUAGAAUGAACCGGCGAGUUACGAUCCCGUGC
rnacentral:rRNA from 1 species